ACUGAACGCUGGCGGCAGGCCUAACACAUGCAAGUCGAGCGGAUGAAGGGAGCUUGCGCCUGUAUUCAGCGGCGGGCGGGUGAGUAAUUCCCAGGAAACUGACUGGAAGUGGGGAAUACCGUCCGUAAACGGGCCCUAAGACCGCAUACGAUCAGAGGGAGAAAGGGGGGGGUCUUCGGACCUCGCGCUAUCAGAUGAGCCUUGGUCGGGGUAGCUAGUUGGUGGGGUAAAGGCCUACCAAGGCGACGAUCCGUAACUGGUCUGAGAGGAUGAUCUGUCACACUGGAACUGGCACACGGUCCAGACUCCUACGGUAGGCAGCAGUGGGGAAUUUUGGCCCAUGGUCUAAAGCCUGAUGCAGCCAUGCCGCGUGUGUGAAGAAGGUCUUCGGAUUGUAAAACACUCUCAGUUGGGAGGAACGGCAGUCUGCUUAUACCUUCCUGUUUUGACGUUACCAACACAAAAAGCCCCGGCUAACUUCGUG
rnacentral:rRNA from 1 species